rnacentral:rRNA from 1 species
CACGUGGGAACGUGCCCUUUGGUUCGGAACAACACAGGGAAACUUGUGCUAAUACCGGAUAAGCCCUUACGGGGAAAGAUUUAUCGCCAAAGGAUCGACCCGCGUCUGAUUAGCUUGUUGGUGAGGUAACGGCUCACCAAGGCGACGAUCAGUAGCUGGUCUGAGAGGAUGAUCAGCCUCACUGGGACUGAGACACGGCCCAGACUCCUACGGGAGGCAGCAGUGGGGAGUAUUGCACAAUGGGCGCAAGCCUGAUGCAGCCAUACCGCGUGUGUGAAGAAGGCUUUCGGGUCGUAAAGC